rnacentral:lncRNA from 1 species
AGCGCGCCCGGAGUGAUCCGGCUGCGGGCCAGGGUCUGGGAAGGGGGUGGUGGGUCGCCGUUUCAUCAGAAGCCGGAGGACGGGCGCCAGGGGGCAACUUCCUACAGGAGGGCGUCCCGUUAGAAUGACAGGGCUUUUGCAAAAGUCUGACACCCGUGGCACAGAGCGCCCCAGAUAUGGAGGGUUUCACAGGCUCAUGUGUGGCUUCUUCAGUCCUCUCUUCAUUCACUCAUGUAUUCAUUUAUUCAACGACAUAUUACUAAGGAACCUCCUUAAGCCGGGAUGCUGAACGUGGAAAAAUAGUUGACUCUUGAACAAUGUGGGGGCUUGGGGCACCAACCCCCUGUGCAGUUGAAAAUCGACAUAUAACUUUGACUCGCCAAAAACUUCACUACAAUAGCCUGCUGCCAACCUGAAGUCUUACCAAUAACAUCAACAGUCAAUUAAACAUAUUACUAGGCUGAAAAGGAGAAGGAAGUGAAGGGGUUGGUCUUGCCGUCUCACGAGUGGCAGAGGCAGGAGAAAAUCCAAAUAGUAUAGAUGUUCUUCAGGCUGGAUGCAUAUUGCCAGAUUUGAAUACUAACCUUUUAGGAAGGUCUGGGAUGUUUCUCUUGCAUGCCUCUGGAAUCAAAUGACUCUGAUACUGCAAGCACUUCAGAGUAUGUAUAAGCAAUUUCAGCUGGUUCCGUCCUGAUAUUUACAAAACUGCCUGGAUCAUACUUACAACCAUGCAAUGAUAUAUAUUUCUAUUAAGAAAGCAACGAUUUGCUUGAAAGAUGAAGGAAAACAAACUAAGUAUUUAUGUACAAUGAGUCCUAAGUGUACACCACUAUGUUUUCCAUCAGCUUUUGAUUUUCUGUCACUCCUCUUUUUCUUUGAAAUUUAGAGUCAGAAGUGAACUGACUUCAUGGUUUUCCUCAUGAUUAUUUGAUAUCCUCUAGGGAAUCAUGACUUAAAGACUGCAUUCUUCCUUCUCAAAACUCAUGUUAAAGAUUUCUCCAUGCAGAGCCACAGGCUAUUUUGGAGUUUGAAAUGGAGCAGUUAAAACUAGGAGGUCACACACGUUGAGAUUAUUCCUUCACUGCAUCUCGCCCGGCUUGUGUGCCUGAGGAGACACGCAUCUCAGAGGGCAGAGGGGCAGCCGUUGUCUAGUGAGGUUAUUUCACCUACUAUAUAAUAAAAUGUACAGGACAAUAGCGCA